rnacentral:rRNA from 1 species
UACGUAGGGGGCAAGCGUUAUCCGGAUUUAUUGGGCGUAAAGAGCUCGUAGGCGGCUGAUCGCGUCGGUUGUGAAAGCUCAGGGCUCAACCCUGAGACGCCAAUCGAUACGGAUCGGCUAGAGGUAGGUAGGGGAAAGUGGAAUUCCUGGUGUAGCGGUGAAAUGCGCAGAUAUCAGGAGGAACACCGGUGGCGAAGGCGGCUUCCUGGACCGACACUGACGCUGAGGCGCGAAAGCUAGGGGAGCAAACGGG